rnacentral:rRNA from 1 species
GACGAACGCUGGCGGCGUGCUUAACACAUGCAAGUCGAACGAUGAAGCCCAGCUUGCUGGGUGGAUUAGUGGCGAACGGGUGAGUAACACGUGAGUAACCUGCCCUUGACUCUGGGAUAAGCGCUGGAAACGGCGUCUAAUACCGGAUACGACCUGCCCCGGCAUCGGGUGCGGGUGGAAAGUUUUUCGGUCAAGGAUGGACUCGCGGCCUAUCAGGUAGUUGGUGAGGUAAUGGCUCACCAAGCCGACGACGGGUAGCCGGCCUGAGAGGGUGACCGGCCACACUGGGACUGAGACACGGCCCAGACUCCUACGGGAGGCAGCAGUGGGGAAUAUUGCACAAUGGGCGAAAGCCUGAUGCAGCAACGCCGCGUGGGGGAUGACGGCCUUCGGGUUGUAAACCUCUUUUAGUAGGGAAGAAGGGCUUCGGCUUGACGGUACCUGCAGAAAAAGCACCGGCUAACUACGUGCCAGCAGCCGCGGUAAUACGUAGGGUGCAAGCGUUGUCCGGAAUUAUUGGGCGUAAAGAGCUCGUAGGCGGUUUGUCGCGUCUGCUGUGAAAACCCGAGGCUCAACCUCGGGCCUGCAGUGGGUACGGGCAGACUAGAGUGCGGUAGGGGAGAAUGGAAUUCCUGGUGUAGCGGUGGAAUGCGCAGAUAUCAGGAGGAACACCGAUGGCGAAGGCAGUUCUCUGGGCCGUUACUGACGCUGAGGAGCGAAAGCGUGGGGAGCGAACAGGAUUAGAUACCCUGGUAGUCCACGCCGUAAACGUUGGGAACUAGAUGUGGGGACCUUUCCACGGUCUCCGUGUCGCAGCUAACGCAUUAAGUUCCCCGCCUGGGGAGUACGGCCGCAAGGCUAAAACUCAAAGGAAUUGACGGGGGCCCGCGCAAGCGGCGGAGCACGCGGAUUAAUUCGAUGCAACGCGAAGAACCUUACCAAGGCUUGACAUAUACCGGAAACUUCCAGAAAUGGUUGCCCCGCAAGGUCGGUAUACAGGUGGUGCAUGGUUGUCGUCAGCUCGUGUCGUGAGAUGUUGGGUUAAGUCCCGCAACGAGCGCAACCCUCGUUCUAUGUUGCCAGCACGUCAUGGUGGGAACUCAUAGGAGACUGCCGGGGUCAACUCGGAGGAAGGUGGGGAUGACGUCAAAUCAUCAUGCCCCUUAUGUCUUGGGUUUCACGCAUGCUACAAUGGCCGGUACAAAGGGCUGCGAUACCGUAAGGUGGAGCGAAUCCCAAAAAGCCGGUCUCAGUUCGGAUUGAGGUCUGCAACUCGACCUCAUGAAGUCGGAGUCGCUAGUAAUCGCAGAUCAGCAACGCUGCGGUGAAUACGUUCCCGGGCCU